GAUGAACGCUGGCGGCGUGCCUAAUACAUGCAAGUCGAGCGAACAGACGAGGAGCUUGCUCCUCUGACGUUAGCGGCGGACGGGUGAGUAACACGUGGAUAACCUACCUAUAAGACUGGGAUAACUUCGGGAAACCGGAGCUAAUACCGGAUAAUAUAUUGAACCGCAUGGUUCAAUAGUGAAAGACGGUUUUGCUGUCACUUAUAGAUGGAUCCGCGCCGCAUUAGCUAGUUGGUAAGGUAACGGCUUACCAAGGCAACGAUGCGUAGCCGACCUGAGAGGGUGAUCGGCCACACUGGAACUGAGACACGGUCCAGACUCCUACGGGAGGCAGCAGUAGGGAAUCUUCCGCAAUGGGCGAAAGCUUGACGGAGCAACGCCGCGUGAGUGAUGAAGGUCUUCGGAUCGUAAAACUCUGUUAUGAGGGAAGAACAAAUGUGUAAGUAACUAUGCACGUCUUGACGGUACCUAAUCAGAAAGCCACGGCUAACUACGU
rnacentral:rRNA from 1 species